rnacentral:rRNA from 1 species
AGCAGUAGCCGCGGUAAUACGGAGGAUCCAAGCGUUAUCCGGAUUUAUUGGGUUUAAAGGGUGCGUAGGCGGCUUAUUAAGUCAGGGGUGAAAGGCGGUAGCUUAACUAUCGGAGUGCCCUUGAUACUGAUGAGCUUGAAUGCAGCUGAGGUAGGCGGAAUGUGACAAGUAGCGGUGAAAUGCAUAGAUAUGUCACAGAACACCGAUUGCGAAGGCAGCUUACUAAAGUGCGAUUGACGCUGAGGCACGAAAGCGUGGGGAUCAAACAGGAUUAGAUACCCGGGUAGUCCCUGUCUCUUAUAC